rnacentral:rRNA from 1 species
GAAAGCGGGGCUAAUACCGGAUAAUAUCUAUAAAAUCUUGGUUUUUUGGAUCAAAGGGGGCCUCUACAUGUAAGCUUCCAUUUGGAGAUGAGCCCGCGUACCAUUAGCUUGUUGGUAGGGUAAUGGCCUACCAAGGCUUCGAUGGUUAGCUGGUCUGAGAGGAUGAUCAGCCACACUGGAACUGACACACGGUCCAGACCCCUACGGGAGGCAGCAGUGAGGAAUUUUGCGCAAUGGGGGAAACCCUGACGCAGCAACGCCGCGUGAGUGAUGAAGGCUUUCGGGUCGUAAAGCUCUGUCAAGUGGGAAGAAACUGUAUUGUAUUAAUACUACAGUACACUGACGGUACCACUGAAGGAAGCACCGGCUAACUCCGUGCCAGCAGCCGCGGUAAUACGGAGGGUGCAAGCGUUAUUCGGAAUUAUUGGGCGUNAAGAGCGCGUAGGCGGUCUCUUAAGUCAGAUGUGAAAGCCCGGGGCUUAACCCCGGAAGUGCAUU